CCAAACUUGGUCAUUUAGAGGAAGUAAAAGUCGUAACAAGGUAUCCGUAGGUGAACCUGCGGAUGGAUCAUUACCAAUUUAACUUUACAGUUUGUAGUCAUCACUUCGGUGAUGGGUACACAACUACCAUGUAAACGUUGAACUUGAUCAUCAGUGUUGUGGACUUGCUUAUCGAUCUAUCGAUGGGUAGUCCCCACACUGAUACCAUUUUAUAUAAUAUACUACUCGUAUAUACUACAAACAAACAAAACAACUUUCAACAAUGGAUCUCUUGGCUCUCGCAUCGAUGAAGAACGCAGC
rnacentral:misc_RNA from 1 species